rnacentral:rRNA from 1 species
UACGAAGGGGGCUAGCGUUGCUCGGAAUCAUUGGGCGUAAAGCGCGCGUAGGCGGCCAGAUUAGUCCGGUGUGAAAGUCAGAGGCUCAACCUUUGAAUGCCGCUGGAAACUGUCUGGCUUGAGUCCGGAAGGGGCGAGUGGAAUUCCUGGUGUAGCGGUGAAAUGCGCAGAUAUCAGGAGGAACACCAAUGGCGAAGGCAGCUCGCUGGGACGGUACUGACGCUGAGACGCGAAAGCGUGGGGAGCGAACAGG